CCUGGUAGCACUACGUGGCUUGCAGCUAUGGCACUGGACACACAGAUCUAGGACAUUUUCAUCAUCACAGAAAGUUCUAUUGGACAGCACUGAAUAGCACGAGCCCAUUUUUGUAAUUAAAAAAAAAAGGGUGUACACUUACAAAAGCAGCAGAAAUAUUUGGAAGGAAACCAUGCCCCUGCUCUGAAAGAACAGGACAGUAGAGCAAGAAGAAAAUGAAGCAGGCUGGGACUCCCUGCGCAGCGCAGCCCCUUUACAGAAAACCUGUUUGAAGAGGCAUCAAAACUGUUGGUUUUGGCCAGAAGCGCUGGCUCACGCCUGUAAUCCUAGCACUUUGGGAGGCUGAGAAUCUAAAUCCCAUGAAGACAGAGACACUGCUUUGCUUCCUGCUAUGUCCCCAGCACUUAGAACAGUGCCUGGCACAUCACAGAGGCUCAAUAAUAUUUGCUGAAUGAAUGAGCAGCACCCUGCCCUUUAACAGUGGAGAGAAACCAUCACCGACUAAGGAUCUAUAUCAGAGCUGCAACUGCCACCAGGGACCCAAGACAGAGAAAUGCCACCUUGCGUUACUAAAGGGCUCAUGAUGCCAUAUACAACAGCUGAAUCCCCGAGAGAAGUGUGGCUGAGGAGUGAGACAAAGGUCUCUGGGACACUUUCAGAAGGAUGAGACUUUGUCCAGCCUGUCCUCAUUAUGCCAGGCAAAGGAACUGCCUGUACUCAUAACUGUGGAAGAGGAACCACAUACCAUGGGAAGAUGGUCCAUGGGGACGG
rnacentral:antisense_RNA from 1 species